rnacentral:rRNA from 1 species
UACAGAGGUCUCAAGCGUUGUUCGGAUUCAUUGGGCGUAAAGGGUGCGUAGGCGGCGCGGUAAGUCGGGUGUGAAAUCUUGGAGCUUAACUCCGAAACUGCAUUCGAUACUGCCGUGCUUGAGGACUGGAGAGGAGACUGGAAUUUACGGUGUAGCGGUGAAAUUCGUAGAUAUUCGCAAGAACACCAGUGGCGAAGGCGGCUCACUGGCUCGGUACUGACGCUGAGGUGCGAAAGCGUGGGGAGCAAACAGG